UCUGAGGAGACAGGGGAGAGAGCAGGAGUUCAUCAGAGCCGCUCUAUAAACUAAAAGACGAGCUCUUUCUCUUGUUGGUUCUCUCCCUUCUCCGGCCUCGUCUUAUCUAGAAGGUCUGUAACAAGGUCUUUCUCGUUGGUUCUCUCCCUCCUACGGCCUCGCCUUAUCUAGAAGGUCUGUAACAAGGUCUUUCUCGUUGGUUCUCUCCCUCCUACGGCCUCGUCUUAUCUAGAAGGUCUGUAACAAGGUCUUUCUCUUGUUGGUUCUCUCCCUCCUACGGCCUCGUCUUUUCUAGAAGGUCUGUAACAAGGUCUUUCUCUUGUUGGUUCUCUCCCUUCUCCGGCCUCGUCUUAUCUAGAAGGUCUGUAACAAGGUCUUUCUCCUGUCCUCGUCUUAUCUAGAAGGUCUGUAACAAGGUCUUUCUCCUGUUGGUUCUCUCUCUUCUACGGCCUCGUCUUUUCCAGAAGGCCUGUAGUCAAACCUCACCUUCUGAACAUUCUCCUCCUCUAGGAGGGUCAGAGGUCAUCAGAGUCCAGUCACAAUGAGGCAGCUAACACAACUCAUUCAGACUAAACACCAGGUUACUCACAGUGUGUGUGUGUCUGUGUGUGUGUCUGUCUCUGUGUGUGUGUCUGUCUCUGUGUGUGUGUGUGUGUCUCUGUGUCUCUGUUUGUGUGUGUGUGUGUGUGUGUGUGUGUGUGUGUGUGGAGAGAGACGUACCAGUAGCUUGCGCCCCGCUCCCUGCGGUCAUCUGGUUCUCGUCAUCGAACUCGAUGCGGACCCCUUUCCCAUUACCAGUGGAGACCCCACAGCCCCCGCUGCGACACAGAGAGAUGGGCACCACGCCAUACACGUACGCCAGCAUGAUGGGCACGCCGAUGCCUGGACACACACACACACACACAGAGUUAACCACCUCACACCCUGGGGAGGGACACCAGACAACCAGCAGAGACCACUGUGUCUCCUAAAAGCAGUCGGUCACUACUAGCUCAUCUAAACAACCAGCAGAGGACCACUGUGUCUCCUAAGAGCAGUCGGUCACUACUAGCUCAACUAAACAACCAGAGACCACUGUGUCUCCUAAGAGCAGUCGGUCACUACUAGCUCAUCUAAACAACCAGCAGAGACCACUGUGUCUCCUAAGAGCAGUCGGUCACUACUAGCUCAUCUAAACAACCAGCAGAGACCACUGUGUCUCCUAAGAGCAGUCGGUCACUACUAGCUCAUCUAAACAACCAGAGACCACUGUGUCUCCUAAGAGCAGUCGGUCACUACUAGCUCAACUAAACAACCAGAGACCACUGUGUCUCCUAAGAGCAGUCGGUCACUACUAGCUCAUCUAAACAACCAGCAGAGGAACACAGGGGACAUGAUGACAGAGAGUACAGUAUACUGACCACAGGGGACAUGAUGACAGACAGAGUACAGUAUACUGACCACAGGGGACAUGAUGACAGACAGAGUACAGUAUACUGACCACAGGGGACAUGAUGACAGACAGAGUACAGUAUACUGACCACAGGGGACAUGAUGACAGACAGAGUACAGUAUACUGACCACAGGGGACAUGAUGACAGACAGAGUACAGUAUACUGACCACAGGGGACAUGAUGACAGA